AACGAACGCUGGCGGCAUGCCUAACACAUGCAAGUCGAACGAGAUCUUCGGGUCUAGUGGCGCACGGGUGCGUAACGCGUGGGAAUCUGCCCUUUGGUUCGGAAUAACAGUUGGAGACGACUGCUAAUACCGGAUGAUGACGAAAGUCCAAGGAUUUAUCGCCAGAGGAUGAGCCCGCGUAGGAUUAGCUAGUUGGUGUGGUAAAGGCGCACCAAGGCGACGAUCCUUAGCUGGUCUGAGAGGAUGAUCAGCCACACUGGGACUGAGACACGGCCCAGACUCCUACGGGAGGCAGCAGUGGGGAAUAUUGGACGAUGGGCGAAAGCCUGAUCCAGCAAUGCCGCGUGAGUGAUGAAGGCCUUAGGGUUGUAAAGCUCUUUUACCCGGGAUGAUAAUGACAGUACCGGGAGAAUAAGCUCCGGCUAACUCCGUGCCAGCAGCCGCCGCCG
rnacentral:rRNA from 1 species